CUCAUUUGGAAGCUAAAUAUCAUAUUUAGCGUUGUCUCUGACUAACACUAAAAUGUCUAAAGUACUUACUUUAACGUUUCUUUUGGCGAUAGCUGUUGCCGUGCUGUCGGUGACUGUUGAAGACGCCCACCAAGAAGAAAACUUGGUGCGUAUACCCAGGACGACUUGUACCAACAUGGCCUGCAAUGUUCACUGCAUCAUACGAGGGUACAAAAACGGCAAAUGCGAAAAGGCAAACGUUUGUCGCUGCUAUAAAUAAUUCCGAAUCA